rnacentral:rRNA from 1 species
UCCAGCCUGCCCAGUGACUUAGUUUAACGGCCGCGGUACCCUAACCGCGCGAAGGUAGCAUAAUCAUUUGUUCUUUAAAUGAGGACUUGUAUCAACGGCACCACGAGGGUUUUACUGUCUCCUUUCCCUAAUCAGUGAAACUAAUCUCCCCGUGAAGAAGCGGGGAUAAACCUAUAAGACGAGAAGACCCCAUGGAGCUUUAGACGAAGCUACAAUCCAAUUUUAUACACCCUUUAUUAAGCAGGAUUUAUGUAAGCUCAGUUUUAGGUUGGGGUGACCGCGGAGUAUAAAUUAACCUCCACGAUAGACGAAACUUUUCUUAUCUAAGAGUUACAUCUCUAAGAAUUAGUAUACUAAUAUUUAAUGAUCCGAUAAUCGAUCAACGGACCAAGUUACCCUGGGGAUAACAGCGCAAUCCAUUUUAAGAGCCCUUAUCGACAAAUGGGUUUACGACCUCGAUGUUGGAUCAGGAUAUCCUAGUGGUGCAGCAGCUACUGAAGGUUCGUUUGUUCAACGAUUAAA